rnacentral:rRNA from 1 species
GUAGGGAAUAUUGGACAAUGGCUGAAAAGCUGAUCCAGCCAUCCCGCGUGAAGGCAGAAGGUCCUUUGGAUUGUAAACUUCUUUUCUCUGGGAAGAAAUCACGGGUUUCUACCUGUGUUGACGGUACCAGAGGAAUAAGCACCGGCUAACUCCGUGCCAGCAGCCGCGGUAAUACGGAGGGUGCAAGCGUUAUCCGGAUUCACUGGGUUUAAAGGGUGCGUAGGCGGGCUUGUAAGUCAGUGGUGAAAGCCCGGGGCUCAACUUCGGAACUGCCAUUGAUACUGCAGGCCUUGAGUACAGUUGAGGUGGGCGGAAUACAUCAUGUAGAGGUGAAAUUCUUAGAUAUGAUGUAGAACACCGAUUGCGAAGGCAGCUCACUAAAGUGUAACUGACGCUGAGGCACGAAAGCGUGGGGAUCAAACAGGAUUAGAUACCCGGGUAGUCC